rnacentral:rRNA from 1 species
GACGAACGCUGGCGGCGUGCUUAACACAUGCAAGUCGAACGGAAAGGCCCUGCUUUUGUGGGCUUCCGGGUGGCGAAUGGGGGACGAAUGAGGGAUGCACCUGCCCCUAGCUUUUGGUUGAAGUUAAGGAAAGGGGGCUUAUUCCGGGAACGCAGACCACCUUCCUGGGGGGGGAUGGGAAGUUUUGGCCGGUUGGGGAUGAAUCCGCGGCUUACCGGCUGGUUGGUGGGGUAGUGGCUGACCAAGGCUUGGAGGGGUACCCGGCUGGAGAGGGUGACCGGCCACAUUGGGACUGAGGUACGGCCCAGACUCCUACGGGAGGCAGCAGUGGGGAAUAUUGCCCAAUGGGCGGAAGCCUGAUGCAGCAACGCCGCGUGCGGGAUGACGGCUUUCGGGUUGUGAACCGCUUUCGCCUGUGACGAAGCGUGAGUGACGGUAAUGGGUAAAGAAGCACCGGCUAACUACGUG